rnacentral:rRNA from 1 species
UACGUAGGGGGCAAGCGUUGUCCGGAAUCAUUGGGCGUAAAGCGCGUGUAGGCGGCUAGGUAAGUCUGCUCUGAAAGCCCGGGGCUCAACCCCGGGAGGCGGGUGGAUACUGUCUAGCUCGAGUCCGGAAGAGGAGUGUGGAAUUCCUGGUGUAGCGGUGAAAUGCGCAGAUAUCAGGAGGAACACCAAUGGCGAAGGCAGCCCGCUGGGACGUGACUGACGCUGAGACGCGAAAGCGUGGGGAGCAAACAGG